AGCAAAAAUUGUAAAAGAAAAUAUUCAUAGAAACUAUAACAAAAAUGGAAGAAUGUCUGCAGAUGAGGAACCUCUUUUCUCAACUCCUAUUCCUUGUCGCAUAGUCAAUGAUGAAUCAUAAUCAUCUGUCAAAGAAAAGUAUAAAAGUCUUCACUUCCUUGUUGAAGACAUUCCCAGUUGUGUUCUUGGUCAACAAGUUUGACACUGUUGAUCAACACUGGGUUCCCAUCGUGUUGUUCUUGCUCAGGGAAUCAGAUGUCGAUGUAACCUUUAAAGUUAAGACAUGUGAGGAAUAUAGAAAAACAAGAAAAAAAAGAACAAUAAAGAUGAAAAAGAUAAGUUAAAUAUCAUAUCAACAGAAGAAUAAUUGAAGUAAAAUCAGCAGAAUUCUUGCAAAAGGGGCAGAAAAAAGGAAUUAUUACUCGGAUCCACCUGAAUUGGAGGAAAUCACCUUUUUGAUAAAAAGAAUUGGAUUAUGAACAAAUAUUUGUUAUUAUUUGCUAUCAGAGCAAAGACAUUUCUAAUACGACAUGUGAAGACGGAAUCCUGUGAUUCUGUUUUCAGGUAGACGUAUUUCAAGUACUUCGAUCACCUUUUGAUCUUGAACUGUCACUCUCAUUCAUAUUUCAGUGAUAUAUCUCUGUUCUUUGUAAUAUUACUACUGUUAUUGUGUCAUAUUUAGAGUAUUGGUCAGGUCUUUAUUAUUGUUUAUAAAUAAAUUUGCGUUUUAAUAAGUUGUGAAUCAAUCUUUCACACUUGGAUCCCUGUGCCACUUGUCUACGUGACCUUAUUUAAAUUAAGUCCAAAUUAGUAAUUUAUUAAAAUAAACUCGUCUCAUACCAUUACCACAUUUUUGCAUAUGCCUAGAGAAAGAUAAAGAUCACCAACAUGCUGAAAUUUUUACUUAUGAUUUACAAAGUUCAAAGAAAAGAAAAUGGGACUAUCAAAUACAGAUUUAAAAUUGGACUGAAUAAAGGAUAGCAAGAAUAGGAAUAGAAAUAUGAAUGAAGAUUGGAUAUGUGGAAUGUGAAUAAACGAAUGAAAGGAAAUGAACAAGAGCUUAUGAAUAAAAUGUGCAAAUAUAGCCUGGAUAUGCUAUAUGGGAGUGAAACAUAUCAAAAGGAUGCAUUUGAGUGUGUAAGGAAUGAUAUUAUGGGAAUAUGGUCUGGGGUGUAAAAGAUAAUAAACAAGCAAGAAGUGAUAUAGGUAAGCUGAAGAAUGAGAGAACAUAAAAAUGUAUAUUAGAAUGCAAGUGUGUGAAUGAAAGAAUAAUAUGGAUAAGAAUAAAAUUUGGACCUCAGUGUGUGUUCCUGAUAGUGGUGUAUGAUCCUGUGAAUGGUACAAAUGAGAAUGAAAAAGAUAAAUUCUGAUAUGGCUUUAAUCAUGUGGUAAAUAAAAUCAUGGCACUGAGUGAGUAAUUGUG
rnacentral:lncRNA from 1 species